rnacentral:misc_RNA from 1 species
UUUCCGUAGGUGAACCUGCGGAAGGAUCAUUACCGAGUGAGGGCCCUCUGGGUCCAACCUCCCACCCGUGUUUAUCUACCUUGUUGCUUCGGCGAGCCUGCCUUUUGGCUGCCGGGGGACGUCAGUCCCCGGGUCCGUGCUCGCCGGAGACACCUUAGAACUCUGUCUGAAGAUUGUAGUCUGAGAUUAAAUAUAAAUUAUUUAAAACUUUCAACAACGGAUCUCUUGGUUCCG